UACAGAGGAUGCAAGCGUUAUCCGGAAUGAUUGGGCGUAAAGCGUCUGUAGGUGGCUUUUUAAGUCCGCCGUCAAAUCCCAGGGCUCAACUCUGGACAGGCGGUGGAAACUACCAAGCUGGAGUACGGUAGGGGCAGAGGGAAUUUCCGGUGGAGCGGUGAAAUGCGUAGAGAUCGGAAAGAACACCAACGGCGAAGGCGGACGAACUGGACAGUGACUGACACUCAACUGCGAAAGCGUGGGGAGCAAACAGG
rnacentral:rRNA from 1 species